ensembl:lncRNA
AUGCACACAGUCAAGCUCCCUGAGCAACAGCAAAACAGAUGGAAGCAUCUCUCCUUCCAGGUUGAUUUUUAUUGCUAUUAUAGUACAGUCCGGUCCCAUUCUACAUCAUUAUAUUUGAUAACUGUCAUAAACCUGAAAUCACUGCUAUUUGAUGUCAGGACAAAGUCACUCUUGGAACUGAACCAUGCCAGACUCAAUCAACAAACUCUUGUCAGCUUCCCUUACCGCUUCCGUGUAAAUAACCUGCCUGGUCAUUCCUGUCAAAAACUCCAGGUAAAGGAAUCAGAAAGUCACUUAAGUUGAGACCUGUGGAAACAUAAGGACACACCUUCAAGGCCACAACUUUCCCAGUAAACAACUUCAUUUUGCCUUACAAGAACUUGAAUAUGUUGCCAUGAGGCCUUGCAGACUCGAUUAUCAAAACAGAAAAGCCAGAACAUUAGAGAUAUCAGCUAAAAAUAGGGACUAUGAAGUAAGAUGGAUCUGGAUUUAAAUGUUAGUCCCACUAUUUUCUAGCUGGGUGAACUGGGGCAGGUUAUAAAGCUUCUGGGAAUCUAUCUACUAAUCCCUAAAAUGGAGAUAAAUAUUUGACGCUACCUCAAAGGACUAUGGGAGCAAAAAUCAGAUAAGUCAAGCAAAAUACUUAGCACAGUUCCUGACACAGAGUUAGUACAUAAUAAAUCAAGGGAGAGGGAUUUUUUUCCCA